GUUUGCUUCAAUCUCAAACUUCCCUUAUACUUGACCGUUAAAGGAAAAACCUACGCAAUAGAUGCAUUUUGAGCAACAAAUCUCUAUUUCUUUCAUAGAAAACAAAAGAAAAAAAAUCCCUUCCACCGCUUCACAAACACAAAUACAGCAUACAGUAUUUGUAGGGUUUUUCUAACCACCUCAUAAAAUUCAACCUUUUCCCCUAUUUACUAGCUUCAGUAUUUAUUUUUUCCUUUUAUUUGAUUUAUAGUUUUCUUAGUCCAAUUACUUAUAAUUUCCUUUGCCCCCUUUUCUCUUUCCAAAUUAGCUACCCAAAUUACACUUUUUUCUUGAAUAAGACAUUCGUGGUUAUUUUCCCUGAAUUUACUCGAAAUUUCGGAUUUUUUAGCUUCUUGAGGUUAAAUUUUGCAAGUUUUUGGGUGAACCCAAUUGGGGUUUUUUGGGUUUUGCCUAUUUUUUUUCUUGGUUUUGUUGGUUCCAAAGGCAUGAACUUUGAGAGUCUUUAGGUGGGUUUUAAACUUUUAAGUGAAAAUUAAUUAAUUCUUUCUUCUUUUUUUCCAAGAAGAAAAAUAAAUCUUCUAGCCUUUAACGUGAAAGAUGAAAGCAGAGAAGCCUGUUUGGGUAAAGCAUGGAGGGACGCAGAUUUUCUCGGUCGAUAUACAGCCUGGUGCCCUCAGGUUUGCCACUGGCGGUGGUGAUCAUAAGGUAUAAUUUG
rnacentral:lncRNA from 1 species